rnacentral:ncRNA from 1 species
CGUGCGGGACGACCCGCGCAUCUUCUCAUUCCGGGACGGCCCGG